AGUCCUGCAGGGAGAGCCUCUGCUGGUCUAGCUUCAUCCAAGCUCCCCCUCCACCCACCGCUAUUCCUCAGGAAGACUCAAGAUCUGGGAGAUGGACCAGGCAUUUGGAAAGACCUGAAGACCAUGGGCUCUGUGUCUCUCUCUAUAUUCUUCAUCACACUGCUUGUUCUGGGCAGACAGAAUGAAUAUUACUGUAGGUUAGACUUCUUAUGGAAGAACAAGUUCAAAAAAGAGCGGGAGGAGAUAGAAACCAUGGAGAACCUGAACCGCGUGCUGCUGGAGAACGUGCUUCCCGCACACGUGGCUGAGCACUUCCUGGCCAGGAGCCUGAAGAAUGAGGAGCUAUACCACCAGUCCUAUGACUGCGUCUGCGUCAUGUUUGCCUCCAUUCCGGAUUUCAAAGAAUUUUAUACAGAAUCCGACGUGAACAAGGAGGGCUUGGAAUGCCUUCGGCUCCUGAACGAGAUCAUCGCUGACUUUGAUGAUCUUCUUUCCAAGCCAAAAUUCAGUGGAGUUGAAAAGAUUAAGACCAUUGGCAGCACAUACAUGGCAGCAACAGGUCUGAGCGCUGUGCCCAGCCAGGAGCACUCCCAGGAGCCCGAG
rnacentral:sRNA from 1 species